AGAGUUUGAUCCUGGCUCAGAACGAACGCUGGCGGCAGGCUUAACACAUGCAAGUCGAACGCCCCGCAAGGGGAGUGGCAGACGGGUGAGUAACGCGUGGGAAUCUACCCAACUCUACGGAAUAACUCAGGGAAACUUGUGCUAAUACCGUAUACGCCCUUCGGGGGAAAGAUUUAUCGGAGUUGGAUGAGCCCGCGUUGGAUUAGCUAGUUGGUGGGGUAAAGGCCUACCAAGGCGACGAUCCAUAGCUGGUCUGAGAGGAUGAUCAGCCACACUGGAAUUGAGACACGGUCCAGACUCCUACGGGAGGCAGCAGUGGGGAAUUUUGCGCAAUGGGCGAAAGCCUGACGCAGCAACGCCGCGUGAGUGAUGAAGGCUUUCGGGUCGUAAAGCUCUGUCAGAGGGGAAGAAACACCCAGGGGUUAAUAUUCUCUGGGCUUGACGGUACCCUCAAAGGAAGCACCGGCUAACUCCGUGCCAGCAGCCGCGGUAAUA
rnacentral:rRNA from 1 species